GCCGGCGACGUCGCGAGAACCUUAUCAUUUAGAGGAAGGAGAAGUCGUAACAAGGUUUCCGUAGGAGAACCUGCGGAAGGAUCA
rnacentral:rRNA from 1 species